GAGCAAUUAGGCUAAAUUAUUUAGCUAAUUAAACACAACUAUUUGCUAGUUCGCUGUAAUUAAGUUCCUAGUAUAAAAAGUUGCAUGAACCGGAUAAGAAAUAAAUAAUUGAUAUAAUUAUACCCUUUGGGUUAGUCUACUGGAUCCAAUUCGUAUAAGGUAAACAAUGUCAGAUUAGCCAAAAAGCUAAGAAAGAGCGAUAAUGACCGGUUGGAAGUUCCUAGUAACUUUUAUGUGUUCAAUGGCUUCAUGGUCUUGCAAAUCUUGCAUAUAACACAAAUUUUAGAAGAUUUGUAAGGCCAUUUCAAGCAGCAUAUAUAGUUAUAUGACUAUAUAACUAUAUAGUCAACUCGUAUGCCCUUCUUGACUGACUAAACUUAUGAAAUACGUAUAGUUGGCACUGUAUUUAAGAACCGGACUAAAUGCUCGAUCGUUUGAUCUUUUCACUGUCGUAAACCUUGUGAAAUAAUUAAGAACUAGCACUUUGUCAUGCAAAAUGCAUGAAGGACCGAAAAGUUAAUAUCAAUCUGAAUACUCAAUCCAAAAGCUCAGUUGCUACGCAAUUUGUGACCUAAUUUUGAUAGUUUGUUGUGAUGCAUCGAUUUCGAUAGUAGUUCAUUUCUCCAAAAACGUAAACAGAACUUUAGACAUACCCUUCCAUAGAGUCUUGAUUUGAGAUUGUGACAUUACAAAUAAGAGCGAGCAAAGUUAGAUGAUGUCCUCUUGAGCAUGAUGGGGGCUAACACUAGCAGAAUGAGAUCUACCCUUAAUUACCAUAUGGGAUAGAGCAGAGAACAUUCGACUCUGGACAAACUGGACCUAUAGAGUUCACGAUUCACCCUCACCUAUUAUGUGAGUAACUGUGGCCUAAUAUGACUAAAACCGAGGGUCUAAAACUAAAUGAAAUUAGACCAACCAUAGAAAUAUCGAACCGAGAACCCAGGGUUCAACCUCAGCUGAAAUAGGAUCUACCUUGGUUGAAUAAGUCUAAGCGUAGACAGUGGAGUGGGACUGAAGACAGUGGAGUGGGACUGAACAACACUCUAGCUAGUCGCAAUGGCGACCAUAAUAGGACCUACUUUUGAUAAUAACCAGUGGCCGUAGUGUAAUCUAGGGUGAACCACGUAGUCAUUUGUGUUUUAUGUUUAUAGUGCAACACUUAGUUUUAGCUAACCGAAACUUUUAGACCUGCUUGGACUCCCUUGCUAACUAAUCAAGCUCACUCACCAGCAAAAAAAAAGAAAAAAGAAAAAAAGAUAGUAAAUCAAAAUAUAACAAAGAAUUAACAAAAGAAAAUAAUUAGUAAAUCAAAGUACCCUUUCUAUCUGGGAAAUCACACAUUUCUAACAAAAAGUAUGUUCUUAAUCAUUUCUAUAACUAUCAUGCUCAUUAAAAAAAUUACAGGUGCAACACCUAAAUAAUGAACAACCAGUUAGAAACACCACUAUAUAAAUAACCACCAUAUAAAUCAUGGAAGUGUUGUUGGUUGGUGACUUGGUGGAAGUGAAUACCAUGGAAAGGUUUAUAUUUUUAUUUUCUUAUUUUUAAUAAAAGCGAGCGUAUCUUGGAAAAUCUAUCAACACAUGUUCUACGGGUGAGAUUUAAAGUCUUCCAAGUUGGACAUUUCAUCAUAUAAAUAAGACACCUGGGAACCAAAUGUUGCCACAAGAGAAAGAAAAUAUAAACAAAAUCAACAGAUCGAGACGGCUUUGCGUGUGUGCAUCACAGAGUAAUAAUAUUGCAACAACUCGAUCCCAGUUGGAUUUCAUACUUGAAGACACCCUCUGAUAUCAGAUCUGGGGCUUCAAAGACAAUAUCCCCGGAAUAACAGAGAAGAAAAGGUAACUUAGCUCAUGAUUGUGAGCUGCGGCCAUGCACACCUCCGAUGAUCCGAAUCCGAUGAUUCGUGCUGUACGAAAAAAACUUAUAGGGGGAGGGAGGGGCCGGCCGAGCAGUCAUUGUCUUAAAGAAGCCACAACAAUAAGGUUCAUGUCAACUUCAAAGCCAAAUAAGGCAAAAGGGUUUUUUUCUUUUCUCCCAAGUGAGAUGUUUGGCAUGUGACCAAUUUGCUGAGGAGUUCGACUUAAAUUGGAAAACUUUUUAUUGCCCCUGUACUUUUUUCCGGUUCGCAUUCCCAAAGUGUCCUUUAAAAUAAGGUAUAUUCUUUUUA